AGAAAGCAGCUUGCUGCUUUGCUGACGAGUGGCGGACGGGUGAGUAAUGUCUGGGAAACUGCCUGAUGGAGGGGGAUAACUACUGGAAACGGUAGCUAAUACCGCAUAACGUCGCAAGACCAAAGAGGGGGACCUUAGGGCCUCUUGCCAUCGGAUGUGCCCAGAUGGGAUUAGCUAGUAGGUGGGGUAACGGCUCACCUAGGCGACGAUCCCUAGCUGGUCUGAGAGGAUGACCAGCCACACUGGAACUGAGACACGGUCCAGACUCCUACGGGAGGCAGCAGUGGGGAAUAUUGCACAAUGGGCGCAAGCCUGAUGCAGCCAUGCCGCGUGUAUGAAGAAGGCCUUCGGGUUGUAAAGUACUUUCAGCGGGGAGGAAGGGAGUAAAGUUAAUACCUUUGCUCAUUGACGUUACCCGCAGAAGAAGCACCGGCUAACUCCGUGCCAGCAGCCGCGGUAAUACGGAGGGUGCAAGCGUUAAUCGGAAUUACUGGGCGUAAAGCGCACGCAGGCGGUUUGUUAAGUCAGAUGUGAAAUCCCCGGGCUCAACCUGGGAACUGCAUCUGAUACUGGCAGGCUUGAGUCUCGUAGAGGGGGGUAGAAUUCCAGGUGUAGCGGUGAAAUGCGUAGAGAUCUGGAGGAAUACCGGUGGCGAAGGC
rnacentral:rRNA from 1 species